rnacentral:rRNA from 1 species
AGUGAACGCUGGCGGUAGGCCUAACACGUGCAAGUCGAACGGCAGCACAGUAAGAGCUUGCUCUUACGGGUGGCGAGUGGCGGACGGGUGAGGAAUACAUCGGAAUCUACUUUUUCGUGGGGGAUAACGUAGGGAAACUUACGCUAAUACCGCAUACGACCUACGGGUGAAAGCAGGGGAUCUUCGGACCUUGCGCGAUUGAAUGAGCCGAUGUCGGAUUAGCUAGUUGGCGGGGUAAAGGCCCACCAAGGCGACGAUCCGCAGCUGGUCUGAGAGGAUGAUCAGCCACACUGGAACUGAGACACGGUCCAGACUCCUACGGGAGGCAGCAGUGGGGAAUAUUGGACAAUGGGCGCAAGCCUGAUCCAGCCAUACCGCGUGGGUGAAGAAGGCCUUCGGGUUGUAAAGCCCUUUUGUUGGGAAAGAAAAGCAGCAGGUUAAUACCCCGCUGUUCCGACGGUACCCAAAGAAUAAGCACCGGCUAACUUCGUG